rnacentral:rRNA from 1 species
UACGUAGGGUGCAAGCGUUGUCCGGAAUUAUUGGGCGUAAAGGGCUCGUAGGCGGUCCAUCGCGUCGGGAGUGAAAAGCUGGGGCUCAACCCCAGUCCUGCUUUCGAUACGGGUGGACUAGAGGUAUGCAGGGGAGAACGGAAUUCCUGGUGUAGCGGUGAAAUGCGCAGACUAUCAGGAGGAACACCGGUGGCGAAGGCGGUUCUCUGGGCAUUACCUGACGCUGAGGAGCGAAAGCGUGGGGAGCAAACAGG